CUAACGGAGACGCAGAUGAGCAAAGCCUCAUUUCAGCUUCAGCAGCCCGAACUCUGAAGCCCCCGUCCUGGGUGAGGUGGGACGAGAGGGGGGGUUAGGGCAAAGAGGUAGAGGUGUGAGUUAGGGUUAGGGUUAGGGUUAGGGUAGAGAGGUGUGAGUUAGGGUUAGGGUUAGGGUUAGGGCAGAGAGGUGUGAGUUAGGGUUAGGGUUAGGGUUAGGAGGUGUGAGUUAGGGUUAGGGUUAGGGUAGAGAGGUGUGAGUUAGGGUUAGGGUUAGGGUUAGGGCAGAGAGGUGUGAGUUAGGGUUAGGGUUAGGGUUAGGGCAGAGAGGUGUGAGUUAGGGUUAGGGUUAGGGUUGGGGUUAGGGUUAGGGCAGAGAGGUGUGAGUUAGGGUUAGGGUUAGGGUAGAGAGGUGUGAGUUAGGGUUAGGGUUAGGGUUAGGGCAGAGAGGUGUGAGUUAGGGUUAGGGUUAGGGCCUCAGCGUCUGUUUGAGCUCCUCCACACAGGGGCUCGUCUACUCCAGGUCUGAAAGAGCAGAUCCUACACUCCUCCUGACUGCAGCU